GAACUGGCGGCGUGCUUACCAUGCAAGUCUAGCGGUAAGGCCCCUUCGGGGGUACACUUCCGGCGAACGGGUGAGUAACACGUGAGCAAUCUGCCCUUCUCUUUGGAAUAACCAUUGGAAACGAUGGCUAAUGCCGAAUAUGACCUCCUUUCGCAUGUUUGGAGGUGGAAAGCUCCGGCGGAGAAGGAUGAGCUCGCGGCCUAUCAGCUUGUUGGUGAGGUAAUGGCUCACCAAGGCAUUGACGGGUAGCCGGCCUGAGAGGGUGACCGGCCACACUGGGACUGAGACACGGCCCAGACUCCUACGGGAGGCAGCAGUGGGGAAUAUUGGACAAUGGGCGAAAGCCUGAUCCAGCAACGCCGCGUGAGGGAUGACGGCCUUCGGGUUGUAAACCUCUUUCAGCAGGGACGAAGCGAAAGUGACGGUACCUGCAGAAGAAGGACCGGCCAACUACGUGCCAGCAGCCGCGGUAAUACGUAGGGUCCGAGCGUUGUCCGGAAUUAUUGGGCGUAAAGGGCUCGUAGGCGGUUUGUCGCGUCUGGAGUGAAAACUCAGGGCUCAACCCUGAGCGUGCUUCCGAUACGGGCAGACUAGAGGUAUGCAGGGGAAAAACGGAAUUCCUGGUGUAGCGGUGGAAUGCGCACAUAUCAGGAGGCACACCGGUGGCGAAGGCGGUUCUCUGGGCCAUACCUGACGCUGAAGAGCGAAAGCAUGGGGAGCGAAAAGAUUAAAUACCCUGGGUA
rnacentral:rRNA from 1 species